CCUACGGGGGGCAGCAGUGAGGAAUAUUGGUCAAUGGACGAGAGUCUGAACCAGCCAAGUAGCGUGAAGGAUGACUGCCCUAUGGGUUGUAAACUUCUUUUAUAUGGGAAUAAAACAGGGUAUGCAUACCCUUUUGUAUGUAUCAUAUGAAUAAGGAUCGGCUAACUCCGUGCCAGCAGCCGCGGUAAUACGGAGGAUCCGAGCGUUAUCCGGAUUUAUUGGGUUUAAAGGGAGCGUAGGUGGAUGGUUAAGUCAGUUGUGAAAGUUUGCGGCUCAACUGUAAAAUUGCAGUUGAGACUGGCAGUCUAGAGAGCAGUAGAGGUAGGCGGAAUGCGUGGUGUAGCGGUGAAAUGCUUAGAUAUCACGAAGAACUCCGAUUGCGAAGGCAGCUCACUGGGCUGCAACUGACACUGAUGCUCGAAAGUGUGGGUAUCAAACAGGAUUAGAUACCCUAGUAGUC
rnacentral:rRNA from 1 species